rnacentral:rRNA from 1 species
AUGUUGAUGCAAUACUAUUUCAUGGAGAAUCCUACAUAUCCUCCGCACCUCUUCCAGAGAAGGUACCGAAUGCGCCGAUCCAUCUUUGUGAAAAUUGUUGAAGCUUGCGAAGAAAAUUGCCGGUAUUUUGCUCAAAGAAGAAAUGUCGCGGGCUUAAAGGGAUUUAGUGCAUAUCAAAAAGUCUUCGCAGCUAUGCGGGUGAUUGCAUAUGGCGUUCCGGCUGACUAUGCCGAUGAGUAUCUUCGCAUUGGUGAAGAUAACACAAUUGAGUCUGUGCGUAGAUUUGCGAAAGUGGUCAUUCGUGUCUUCGGUCCUGAGUAUCUUCGGGCACCCAAUGAAGAUGACACAAAGAAAUUGAUGGCAUCAAAUGAGAGGAGAGGUUGGCCUGGCAUGCUAGGUAGCACUGAUUGUAUGCAUUGGAAUUGGAAAAAUUGCCCCAAGGCUUGGCAAGGAAUGUAUUGUGGCAAGUCUCAUGAUGCAACUACACUAUCAAUGGGCAUGAAUACACAAAGGGGUACUAUCUUGCAGAUGGUAUAUACCCUCCUUGGUGCACAUUUGUCAAGAGCAUCAAAGAACCCAAAACAAAAAAACAAUGUGAAUUUGCAAGGGUGCAAGAGGCAGCCCGAAAAGACAUUGAAAGAGCAUUCGGUGUUUUGCAAUCUAGGUUUGCCAUUGUCCCUGGUCCUGCUCGUUUUUGGGAUAAAAAAACCUUGA